GCCUGCGUGGCAUCAUGGUUUGAGUGUUGGGCUGCCCCUCUGGAGAUCCAGGGUUCGAUUCCCAGCUCAGCCA